rnacentral:misc_RNA from 1 species
UCUCCGUUGGUGAACCAGCGGAGGGAUCAUCAAAGAGUUGCAAAACUCCCAAACCAUUGUGAACUUACCUUCAACGUUGCUUCGGCGGGUUGACUCCGGGUCUCCCGGGGCCCCCGGCCCUCACGGGCGCCCGCCGGAGGUAUCUAACUCUUGAAAUUGUAUGGCCUCUCUGAGUGAUUUAUAAAUAAGUCAGAACUUUCAACAACGGAUCUCUUGGUUCUG